rnacentral:rRNA from 1 species
AUAUCAAUAAGCGGAGGAAAAGAAACUAACGAGGAUUCCCCUAGUAACUGCGAGUGAAGCGGGAAAAGCUCAAAUUUAAAAUCUGGCGGUCUUUGGCCGUCCGAGUUGUAGUCUGGAGAAGCGUCUUCUACGCCGGACCGUGUACAAGUCCCUUGGAACAGGGCGUCAUAGAGGGUGAGAAUCCCGUCCAUGACACGGACCGCCGGCGGUUUGUGAUGCGCUCUCAAAGAGUCGAGUUGUUUGGGAAUGCAGCUCAAAAUGGGUGGUAAAUUCCAUCUAAAGCUAAAUACUGGCGAGAGACCGAUAGCGAACAAGUACCGUGAGGGAAAGAUGAAAAGCACUUUGGAAAGAGAGUUAAACAGUACGUGAAAUUGCUGAAAGGGAAACGCUUGAAGUCAGUCGCGUCGGCCGGGGCUCAGCCUUGCAUUCGUUUGCUCGGUUUACUUCCCGGUCGACGGGCCAGCGUCGAUUUUGACCGUCGGAGAAGGGUCAGGGGAAAGUGGCACCUUCGGGUGUGUUAUAGCCUUUGGUCGCAUACGGCGGUUGGGAUCGAGGAACGCAGCACGCCUUUAUGGCCGGGGCCUUUGUGCCCAAGUACCGUGCUUAGGAUGCUGGCGUAAUGGCUUUAAACGACCCGUCUUGAAACACGGACCAAGGAGUCUAACGUGCCUG